GGGGCGGGGCGGUCUCUCGCCGGCCCGCGCGGUGCCCCGCCAGCCCCACGUGCGGAGCGGAGACCGGCCCCCGUGCCGAGGCGCCUGGCUCAGCAGUGCCCCGGGCAGGGGCCGGAGCGGAGCCGUGCGCAAUGGUCGGGGCCGGCAGGGGCGGGGGUUUUGCACCCGCUCCCUCUCCUGGGCCUGGAUAAAUAAGGGGCCGCGGCCGCCGCCCCUGAGCAACUUCUCCUUCAGGCCCCCACAUCUCUGCAAAGCCGGCGGCUGCAGCCAAGCGAGCAAUGGACCCCCAGGACUGUCCCUGUGCGAUCGGUGGCACCUGCACCUGUGGUAACAACUGCAAAUGCACAAACUGUAAGUGCACGUCAUGCAGAAAAAGUGAGUAGCUCAACAGAUCUCAGUAACCAACCUAGCGGGUAGCAUUGUAUAAUAUUUACAGUCCCUGUAUAUAUAACAUGUGCAGUUCUCACUUUUUUUUAACAGAACCCAUUGCUUGAUACAGUAAGCCAAAUGAGUCCUUGUGUGUGUCGUCCCCCCCCCCCCCCACACACACACACAAAACC
rnacentral:lncRNA from 1 species